rnacentral:lncRNA from 10 species
CCGCCAGCUGCAGGCCAGGGAGUUUUUUCUCACCUGUAGGCUGAUGAAUUCAUCCGAGCAAAUGCCACCAACAAGCUGACAGUCAUAGCUGAGCAAAUCCAACAUUUGCAAGAACAAGCCAGGAAGGUACUGGAAGAUGCUCACAGAGAUGCCAACCUGCACCAUGUAGCUUGUAAUAUAGUGAAAAAACCUGGCAACAUUUACUAUCUCUAUAAACGGGAGAGUGGUCAGCAGUAUUUUUCCAUCAUUUCUCCAAAGGAAUGGGGGACAAGUUGUCCACAUGACUUCCUUGGUGCCUACAAACUACAGCAUGACUUGUCCUGGACUCCGUAUGAGGACAUUGAGAAGCAAGAUGCUAAAAUCAGCAUGAUGGACACGUUGCUAAGCCAGUCAGUGGCCCUGCCUCCGUGCACUGAACCCAACUUCCAGGGACUGACUCACUGAGAGUGGGCUUUGACAAACAGCUCUCACAGGACCUGGCUGUCAACCUCCUUGUUGCCCCCACUGUUGCCUUGAGAAUUGAAGACAUGUAGGUGACUCACAAACUUCUUGGAAAGAGACCCUGUGUGAAUGUAAAUGCUGUCAUUAUGACUUUUAAUUGGGAUGGGAAUAAUCAUUGAGACAGAGUCACUGUCUUUCGGGAUCCUCUUUGGACCACAGAUACCCAAGUCAGUCAGUUUCAGAGUAUUGGCCAGUGUACUUUCCUUCUUCCUCUCCAUCACUUCUUCCCUUAAGUUAAAGUGUUAGAGAAGACCUUCUUCCCAUAAAAAGGUUGGUGGAUCGUUUUCCAGAGAGAACUGUUUUCAGUCUUUUAUAUAUAUAUAUAUAUAUAUAUAACUGGUAGU